AUGGAUAAAUUGCUGGGACUUGGAGAAGUCAGGUACAGCAGCAGGAUGUCAUCUGAAUUCAUCCCCUUGUUCAGGAUCCCACCUCUUUCCACAAAGCUAACUGGCCUCUGUCUCAGGCCUUCCUGCUACCUGGGGCCCUCUCAGAGAAGUUAUCACUGGCUUAUUAAUGAUUUGUUGUCUGAGCUACUGUCCCCACAGUCUAGAGGCCCUUCAGGAACUGGGCCGUAUCUGAUGCCGCCUCUGAUCCAGGGCCCAGCGUCCGUCUGGCACAGGGCAGCCAUCAGUGCACCGUGGUUGAGACGACACUGGGUCAGAAGCACAUCACGACUGUCUCCCCACUUCCACGGGGCAGAGUCUGUGAUUAGAACACUCCUCUCUCUGGAUGCCCCCGGGCAGCGUGACCCCAUGCUAUUGGCCCAGGUCCCUUCCUCAACCUCCUUUCUUCUUUGUCCCAGGUGCUCUGGGCCCAGCAGGAUGAGACAGGAUGGGACGUGUGCCGGCCACACGUGUCCAGCCAAGCAGGCCGACCCCGGAGGCGAGGACGAGAACAUGCUGAGCUAGAUCUGUGAGAGGAGGGCUUCACUGAACUCAGUGCUGUGCACCACAAGGAGAUUACUAAUGAAGACCUGAUGGAACUGGAGGCCCAGAGAAAGGACAAAGAGAGACAAGAGGAAGAAGUAACUGAAGAAUCAAAAAGAUUCUGGAGAUGCCUAGGGGAUUUUCUGUAUCUGAGGAGGCACUAUUCGUUUUUGAGGCAAAGGACUCAAACGUAGAAUGGUACACGAAGGUCACAGCAGCCAUUCAGAAUGCAGUCCAGUGCCACCGUGCCAUCUAUGACAAGAGAAAAAGAGCUACCACCCAAACAUUGGGCUUCCCAGGUGGCACUGUUGGUAAAGAACCAGCCUGCCAAUGCAGGAGACAUGAGACAUGGGUUCCAUCCCUGGGUCAGGA
rnacentral:lncRNA from 1 species